rnacentral:rRNA from 1 species
AUUGAACGCUGGCGGCAGGCCUAACACAUGCAAGUCGAGCGAGCGGCGGACGGGUGAGUAAUGUCUGGGAAACUGCCUGAUGGAGGGGGAUAACUACUGGAAACGGUAGCUAAUACCGCAUACCAUCAGAUGUGCCCAGAGGGGAUUAGCUAGUAGGUGGGGUAAUGGCGCACCUAGGCGACGAUCCCUAGCUGGUCUGAGAGGAGGACCAGGCCCACUGGAACGUAGACACGGUCCAGACUCCUACGGGAGGCAGCAGUGGGGAAUAUUGCACAAUGGGCGCAAGCCGUAUGCAGCCAGGCCGCGGGUGUGAAGAAGGCCUUCGGGUUGUAAAGCACUUUCAGCGGGGAGGCGUUACCCGCAGAAGAAGCACCGGCUAACUCCGUGCCAGCAGCCGCGGUAAUAC